AGAGUUUGAUCCUGGCUCAGGAUGAACGCUGGCGGCGUGCUUAACACAUGCAAGUCGAACGAGCCUUCGGGCUAGUGGCGGACGGGUGAGUAACGCGUGGGAAUCUGCCCUCAGGAGGGGGAUAACGGCCGGAAACGGCCGCUAAUACCCCAUAUGCCGAGAGGUGAAACGAAUUUCGCCUGGGGAUGAGCCCGCGUCUGAUUAGCUAGUUGGUGAGGUAAUGGCCCACCAAGGCUUCGAUCAGUAGCUGGUCUGAGAGGAUGAUCAGCCACACUGGGACUGAGACACGGCCCAGACUCCUACGGGAGGCAGCAGUGGGGAAUUUUCCGCAAUGGGCGCAAGCCUGACGGAGCAACGCCGCGUGAGGGACGAAGGCCUCUGGGCUGUAAACCUCUUUUCUCAAGGAAGAAGACAUGACGGUACUUGAGGAAUAAGCCACGGCUAAUUCCGUGCCAGCAGCCGCGGUAAUACGGGAGUGGCAAGCGUUAUCCGGAAUUAUUGGGCGUAAAGCGUCCGCAGGCGGCCUUGAAAGUCUGUUGUUAAAGCGUGGAGCUCAACUCCAUUUAAGCAAUGGAAACUACAAGGCUAGAGUGUGGUAGGGGCAGAGGGAAUUCCCGGUGUAGCGGUGAAAUGCGUAGAUAUCGGGAAGAACACCAGUGGCGAAGGCGCUCUGCUGGGCCAUAACUGACGCUCAUGGACGAAAGCCAGGGGAGCGAAAGGGAUUAGAUACCCCUGUAGUCCUGGCCGUAAACGAUGAACACUAGGUGUCGGAAGAAUUAACCCUUUCGGUGUCGUAGCCAACGCGUUAAGUGUUCCGCCUGGGGAGUACGCACGCAAGUGUGAAACUCAAAGGAAUUGACGGGGGCCCGCACAAGCGGUGGAGUAUGUGGUUUAAUUCGAUGCAACGCGAAGAACCUUACCAGGGUUUGACAUCCUGCGAAUCCCUUGGAAACGGGGGAGUGCCUUCGGGAACGCAGUGACAGGUGGUGCAUGGCUGUCGUCAGCUCGUGUCGUGAGAUGUUGGGUUAAGUCCCGCAACGAGCGCAACCCACGUCUUUAGUUGCCAGCAUUCAGUUGGGCACUCUAGAGAGACCGCCGGUGAUAAACCGGAGGAAGGUGUGGAUGACGUCAAGUCAUCAUGCCCCUUACAUCCUGGGCUACACACGUACUACAAUGCUACGGACAAAGGGCAGCAAACUCGCGAGAGCUAGCAAAUCCCAUAAACCGUGGCUCAGUUCAGAUCGUAGGCUGCAACUCGCCUACGUGAAGGAGGAAUCGCUAGUAAUCGCAGGUCAGCAUACUGCGGUGAAUACGUUCCCGGGCCUUGUACACACCGCCCGUCACACCAUGGAAGUUGGCCAUGCCCGAAGUCGUUACUCCAACCCGUAAGGGAGGAGGACGCCGAAGGUGGGGCUGAUGACUGGGGUGAAGUCGUAACAAGGUA
rnacentral:rRNA from 1 species